CCCCACUGAAACAAUCACUGCUGGACCCUUAAAACCCCAGCAUCUCCACUCUCCAGACUUCAAUGGCUUCCUCUUCGCCAAACUCACUGCUCUUCUGAAACUUGUAUCAUCCUCCAAUACCCUUUAUCUCUUCCCUUCAAAAUAUUUAAAAAGAACCCUUAAAUCCGAUCAUGUUUCUCCUCAAAUCUCUCCUCGGAACCCGAACCCCUCUUUACAUUCCUCAUAAGUCCCUAUGUCCUUCAAAUUUCUUCCGAUCUCUUACUUCCUCAUCCCCCCAAACCAUUCCCGCAACAACCCAAGACGAGAUUAGCCACAAAGAGAAGAAACCACUCUAUGUUUUAUUCGAAGAAGCAGUAGGAUUGCGUCCCAGAACGGAAACCGAUGGACACGGAAGGGAAAACCGCGAAUUUAACAAGAGGUUAAUUGAAUUAGAGAGAGAACUGAGGGAGCUGAAGGAAGCAGAUUCUUCGGAGGGAAAAGAAAAUUUGCCGCGGACGAAUCCAGAGCAGUUAAAGAAAUCAGAGAAAAUGGAGGAUAGCAAGAGCUUAUUCUCGCUGUUUGCUGGAAAGGGGAGAAAAAAUCAGGGAAAUAGGAUGAGAGAGGAAGCGGGAAGGAUUCUCAAGGAGCUUCAACCGGAAAUGGAGUUGUUUCUGAAGGUUCUCUAUAAAGAAGGGUACUUCAAUAAAGCCAAUUUUUUGCCUGGGAGUAGGUUUGAUAGUGGGUGUUUUGAUAAUAGCUACGGAAGGGAGUAUAUCAAGUUUUCCAUUGAGAAGUUCGGCAAGGAUCAUCAAGAAAUUGGAAAAUGGUUGUCAGGCAGUGAGGUUAAAAAGGUGGCCCUCUUUGGUUGCCCUUCCCUCGAUAGAAAGACUGUUUUUUCUGCUAAACGACUGCGCAAGUUUUUUGAAAUUCAAGAAGAUACUGUGUGCAAUAAAUGCACAUUAAGAGAGUCAUGCAAGUUCGUAAACCAGAGUGUAUGGAAAGGUGAUACAAAUAAUUUGAAUUUGGCUGAUGUACUGAGGAUCAUAACUCUGUAUGCUUCAGGGUUGGUGCCUAAGGAGCUGGAAGUUCCUGAUGAAAUAAUGGUUUCUGUUAGUAAAUUGCUGAAGGACGUCAUCCGUUUGAGUGAAACUACAACACAAGGCUACUUGUGAUGACAUGCCCAGAUGUCCUGUUGUUUCUAAUAUAAUUAUUUGCUUUACCAAAGAAGAGUAUGUAGUAGCGAUUUCUUGUCAUGCACAUCGGAGUUCCAUGAGCUGCGGGAUCUAAUUAUUCGGCCAAAGAUGAAAAAGAGAGAAGAAAAGAAUUUGUUGGUUAUCGGUUAUGAAGUUGUUAGCAUUUUCCAUCAUUGCAAACGUGAACGACCACCCUCCCCUCUCUCUUCAACAACAACAGAAUAAUACGUAAAA